UACGAAGGGGGCUAGCGUUGCUCGGAAUCACUGGGCGUAAAGCGCACGUAGGCGGCUCUUUAAGUCAGGGGUGAAAUCCUGGAGCUCAACUCCAGAACUGCCCUUGAUACUGAGGAGCUUGAGUCCGGGAGAGGUGAGUGGAACUGCGAGUGUAGAGGUGAAAUUCGUAGAUAUUCGCAAGAACACCAGUGGCGAAGGCGGCUCACUGGGCCGGUACUGACGCUGAGGUGCGAAAGCGUGGGGAGCAAACAGG
rnacentral:rRNA from 1 species